rnacentral:sRNA from 1 species
CAGCAGGUAUCAGCCAACGAGCCAUCAUCAGCUUGCCCUCCAACAACACUGUCAACAAUGCUAUGUAGCAUAACCAAGUGAUGCCGAACACGUUCAUGAACCAGAACCAGAUAUGCUAUGGUUACCAGAAUUCUCAGAUGAACAAUUGCUCAAACAGCUCAAUGAUGCCAUUUCAACCCCAGACGUACUGGCACAAAAACGAGUUUUACAACACACCAGAGGUGACUAGAAACACAUUUUCAUUUGUCUUUAUUUUUGUGGGAGAAUCAUGCAUGCAGACUAAGAUUCCUGUGGAGGAGAUGCAAAAGACAAAGAAGAACUGCAAAGAAUGCGACAAAAUUAAAGAAGAGUUGCUGAAAGCCGACAAAAGAAUACAAGAAUUGGAGAAGGAGCUUCUUGCUGCCAGCACCAACAAAACGUCUACAGAUAAAUUUGACAUGUUCACUAAUAAUUUUCAUUAUGACAGUCAACAGAUAGUUCAUGUACCUACAAGGUCCAGACAGAUGGAAGGCCUUGUGUUUUGUCAUCUGGUGUGGCAGCUGCAAACCACUCAGUUUCUGAUGAUGGGGGCUGGGUCAGGGGUCUCUACUGACGUUAGUUUCUUUCCUGCCGCUUCCAAGCCUGAUUCGUCUAUUCGCAGCAUCAAGCUUUGUAUUCAUUAUGGCCAGCGAUGUUUUCAUAAAGUUCACUGA